rnacentral:rRNA from 1 species
CGGGACGGGUGAGUAACGCGUGGGUAACCUACCCUGUACACACGGAUAACAUACCGAAAGGUAUGCUAAUACGGGAUAAUAUAUUUGAGAGGCAUCUCUUGAAUAUCAAAGGUGAGCCAGUACAGGAUGGACCCGCAUCUGAUUAGCUAGUUGGUAAGGUAACGGCUUACCAAGGCGACGAUCAGUAGCCGACCUGAGAGGGUGAUCGGCCACAUUGGAACUGAGACACGGUCCAA